UACGUAGGGGGCAAGCGUUGUCCGGAAUCAUUGGGCGUAAAGAGCGUGUAGGCGGCCCGAUAAGUCCGCCGUGAAAGUCCAGGGCUCAACCCUGGAAUGCCGGUGGAAACUGUCGGGCUGGAGUCCGGAAGAGGCGAGUGGAAUUCCUGGUGUAGCGGUGAAAUGCGCAGAUAUCAGGAGGAACACCUACGGCGAAGGCAGCUCGCUGGGACGGUACUGACGCUGAGACGCGAAAGCGUGGGGAGCAAACAGG
rnacentral:rRNA from 1 species